rnacentral:lncRNA from 1 species
AAUAAAAAGUUUUGGGGAGUAAAUGUUUGAGGGAAAUUAAAUAGGGGGAGUAAAAUUUUGGAGGGAAAAUAUUUAAAAAAAAUUGGGGGGGGGAUGGGUUUGGGGUAGAUGGGGGCUGGGAUGGGAAGGAAAUAAAAGUUUUAGGGGAAAAGUAGGAGAGAGUAAAAAUUUUGGGGGAAAAUAAAAAGUUGUGAGGGUUUUUUAGAGUAAAAUUUGGAGGAAAAGUAAAUGAGAGAGUAAAAUUUUGGUGGGAAAUGAAUUUUGGGUAGAUGGGGGGGGGUUAAGAUGAGAG